GGUUCUUUUUUAUGGAAAGAAUAUGUUGCACGUUCUUCAAUAGUAUCAUCUUUUCGGACCGAACUUUAGAAUGGUCAUACCAAUACAAGAAUACGCUCAUGAGACCUGUUUCCCAUUAGCAAGACUCUAGUCCCGCUGACCUGAUAAGAAGAAAACAAAGAAGCAUCAGCAUACACAUUUAUAUUAGCUGUAGUAUCCAUUCACCACUCAAACGAAUGACAAACUGCAAAAAAAUGGUAAAGAAUUGCCAUAUUCAGAUGUUCCUCCUUUAGGCUCGCUAACAAUCAUACAUGUUUGUAGGUUUCUUUUCUCACUAGUCAUGCACUUGCCCAAUGCUCAUUGCUCCUGCAAACAAAGCAAACACCUUAUUUGUUCUUUUUCUUCUUAUAAAAGUGGUUGUUUUCUUAGCCUUCGAGUUGUUCUCUUGCUUGUUCUUUUUUCUUUUUUUUUAUGAUGAGAUACAUUAGAGUUUUUCUUCUACACCAUAUUGGCACUAGAAGACUCAACUACUUUUCCACAUGUGUCAUUUAGACUCACCCUAUCCUCAACAUCAAGAGACCCAAUAAGCUCAACCAUGCUAAACUCUUCUCUAGUGCUUUAGAGAUAUAGCAAAAUCCCUACAGAAAGGUGAUAACUUAGCGAUAAUACCUCUAACCACAAACUUGUUAGGCAAUAUACAUAGAAACUGCUUGAGUUCCUUAGCUAGUCCUUUUAUUUCAUGAGCCUAUUCCACUAGUGAACAAUUAUCAACCAUUUUGUAGUCAUACAACUAUUUCAUGAUGUACAUCUCACUACCAGCAUA
rnacentral:lncRNA from 1 species